GUUGGUGAUGGUCGAAAAAAAUCAAUACAGCCAAUGCCCAUGCUAUGGUAGCGAUUUGUUUACGAAUACGGUGAAUACAAAUGUGCGAACGUGCGUUAUUCCUUUGUGCGUUAUUUCAGGCUUUUCGAAUAGCUGAUUUCUAAGGAGAGGUACUGCGCCCAAAUACUUUACGGUUGCUCCUCAGGUUCCAGAGAAUAGAGAAGAGAAGAUUUACUUCAUUUAAAGUCAUCAAAUCUAAAAAAAAAAUAUUAAACCCAUGCAGCUUUAAAUGUGGAUUGCAGAUGUGCUAAUUGGGGAGGAACCUCGCAAAUAUGCCUCAACAUCAUCAUGGCGGGAGUGUUUUUAUUCCGACAGCAACUUGCGGGAAGUGGAGGAAUUGAAAUCGAAAACUUAAGUUAUUUCUAUAUGAAAGAGAAUAGAAAGAAAAGCAGAGAUCUGGUGGCAUUCCAACGAGACGAAGCAUGCUUGGGGAUAGAAUCUCUUGAAAAGCGCAUUUCUGUGAUCAAAGUAGAAAUUGGGAGCAUAGAAUGGAAAUUGCGCUUGAUUUUUGCAGAAGAUGACUGAUAUGGUGAGAACCAUGGAUGUGAAUUGGAAACACAAUUUGCUGCCGUUCCAUUAAGAUCAUUAGGAAUUAAAAUACCGGUUAAGGAUAUAUUUACUGUGAAGAAAUGAGAGCGCAUUAUAUAACUCUGCAAAUGUAGAAAUAGAUGACACACUUAAUUUGGAAAUCUCACAACUACCACUUAAAGGGCGAGAAUGUUGUUUACCAUCAAAAAUUAAUGAAAUUUCCCACAAAAAAAGUGUCCUAGGCCACGAUGUACAAAUGACAUAUGUAUAUUUAUACCAUACAUUCGCAUCGAUUGACAAGACAAACUACAAACACCAGAAUCGUAUUAAACUACAAGGUGUAAGUAUAUAGCUCCAUACCUUAUAAAGCGCUAGCAAGCAUCAGGGGAUAAAAGUACAUUCGAAUUUAUGCUGCAUAGGGGGAGCGAUUCUGAAACAAACAAUAUUCUAGAAAUCGUCAACAUUUGAUU